UGGGAAAUAUACAAAAAAAUUAAUCAAGCAUGUUAAAAUAAUUAUAUAUAUAUAUAUAUAUAUAUGCCAUCAGUUUAAGAACAAUAAAAUAAAAUAAAUAAUUUACUUAGCAAAUGGUGAUAAUGUUUGUUAAUGAAAGAGAGUACGGGACAAAAGAACAUUUAAACCUUAAACUAGCAGGGCACGUCACUUUCUGAGUGAAGUGCGCGACGUGCGCGUGCCCGUCAUUUUGUAACGGUCAACUUCCAGCGGACGGACACGGAGGAAAGGGCCUGACAACCACCAGUUGAGUCCAUGAUUCAGGGAAGAGACAGUCUGGGCAGCAGCAACAAGACAACUAUUACAAGUAGAGAUGGGUUUCAAGAACUGACACAACCACACAUCCUCCAAAUCAUCUCUGCGUGGAUGGCAGCAAGGAUCCAGGAUCAAGAGAUCAUUCUUCAUGGAGACUGUUCCACAGGAAGCAGUUUCUCCUGGGUGAAAAACUAAACCUGGUUGUUUCAGCAUCACUCAGGCAAGACUAAAUACUUUUAAAUUGAUUUCAGUUGGUUAUGUGUUUCAGGUCAUCCUGACCAUUCUGCUGUUCUGGAUGUAAGGCCGUACUGGAACUACAUUUCUCGUUGUUGAAAGAUUUGUGCAGCGGUAUCCAGACAUAUAACGCCCCAUCACACGGGGCGUCAACGCCUCUCGUUUACUUUUAAAUGAAGUGACGUCAAGCAUGGUGAAAUUAAUUCUAGAAAUUAAUUCUAAAUAGAAGUUGAAGACUUCUCAAGCGCCAAUGCAGCCCUCCUCCAGUCAGAACAUCUUAUGCAAAUACCCAAGCGCAGACGCAAGCCAAUCGAGUGCAUGCAAUACCCGAAAACUAAUGUGAUUGGCUGUCACUAUGAGAAGAGACAGUAAUUCUGAUCCGAUAUCAGUGUCGUUUUUUGCAAAAAAAUGUUUAAAUCAAUGUAGAAUUUUCUAUACUUCUGUGUAGGGAUGUCAAUUUUCAAUCAUUUCCAUGAUCGAUCGUCGUUUAAAUUAACAAUCAAAUAAUCGAUUAAUCGUUAACCUUAAUGCUGCAAAGUCUAUUGCAGUAACACCCAGUCACUGGUAUGACAG